GAUGAACGCUAGCGGUAUGCUUAACACAUGCAAGUCGUACGGAGAAGCAAUUCUUAGUGGCGAACGGGUGAGUAACGCGUAAGUAUUUGCCUUUAGGAAGAGGAUAACAUUUAGAAAUAAAUGCUAAAACUCUAUAUGCCGUUUGGUGAAAAAAGCAAUUUGCCUAAAGAGAAGCUUGCGUCUGAUUAGCUAGUUGGUGGGGUAAUGGCCUACCAAGGCGACGAUCAGUAGCUGGUCUGAGAGGACGAUCAGCCACACUGGAACUGAGACACGGUCCAGACUCCUACGGGAGGCAGCAGUGAGGAAUUUUCUGCAAUGGGCGAAAGCCUGACAGAGCAAUACCGCGUGAAGGAUGAAGGCCUACGGGUUGUAAACUUCUUUUCUCAAGGAGGAAGAACUGACGUUACUUGAGGAAUAAGCAUCGGCUAACCCUGUGCCAGCAGCCGCGGUAAUACAGGGGAUGCAAGUGUUAUCCGGAAUUAUUGGGCGUAAAGCGUCUGCAGGUUGAUAACUAAGUCUUUUGUUAAAUCUCAGGGCUCAACCCGGAAUCUGCAAAGGAAACUAUUUAUCUUGAGUAUGGUAGAGGUAAGGGGAAUUUCCAGUGGAGCGGUGAAAUGCGUAGAUAUUGGAAAGAACACCAACAGCGAAGGCACCUUACUGGGCCAGUACUGACACUCAGAGACGAAAGCUAGGGGAGCAAACGGGAUUAGAUACCCCGGUAGUCCUAGCUGUAAACGAUGGAUACUAGAUGUUGUGGACUUUCGGGUCUGCAGUGUCGUAGCUAACGCGUUAAGUAUCCCGCCUGGGAAGUAUGCUCGCAAGAGUGAAACUCAAAGGAAUUGACGGGG
rnacentral:rRNA from 1 species